rnacentral:rRNA from 1 species
CUACGUGCCAGCAGCCGCGGUAAUACGUAGGUCCCGAGCGUUGUCCGGAUUUAUUGGGCGUAAAGCGAGCGCAGGCGGUUUGAUAAGUCUGAAGUUAAAGGCUGUGGCUCAACCAUAGUUCGCUUUGGAAACUGUCAAACUUGAGUGCAGAAGGGGAGAGUGGAAUUCCAUGUGUAGCGGUGAAAUGCGUAGAUAUAUGGAGGAACACCGGUGGCGAAAGCGGCUCUCUGGUCUGUAACUGACGCUGAGGCUCGAAAGCGUGGGGAGCGAACAGGAUUAGAUACCCUGGUAGUCCACGCCGUAAACGAUGAGUGCUAGGUGUUAGAUCCUUUCCGGGAUUCAGUGCCGCAGCUAACGCAUUAAGCACUCCGCCUGGGGAGUACGACCGCAAGGUUGAAACUCAAAGGAAUUGACGGGGGCCCGCACAAGCGGUGGAGCAUGUGGUUUAAUUCGAAGCAACGCGAAGAACCUUACCAGGUCUUGACAUCCCUCUGACCGCUCUAGAGAUAGAGCUUUC